rnacentral:lncRNA from 13 species
GGCAGAUAAACCAGCAGGCAAAUGAAAUUUAAGUUUCAAGAACCCAGGAGAAGGUACAUGUGCAGAUUUGCGACCUGGGUAUACUGCCUGAUGCUGAGGUUUGGAUUACACAUAAUCCUGUCACCUAGGUGAUGAGCACAGUACCAAAAAGUAGACAUUCUGACUGUUGUGAGAUGGUAUCUCAUUGUGGUUUUGGUUUGCAUUUCUCGGAUGAUUAAUGAUGGUGAGU